AUCCUUCUCCAUUACAGAGCCAGUUGUCAGGUGCUGGGCAUCACUGUUGCGAACAAGGACAUGAACCUAAAAUUAACCCUCAUCCAGAAUGUCAUGGAGAUUAGCUGUGCCAUCUUGGAGACCAGAGACUCCCAAGAGUUCGAAUUCUCAUACAAACUGGAGCUCCUUGGCUACAUGUUGGACUUCAUUAAAC